CUUUUUACCCGUCGUUUUUCAGCGAUAUGCAGUGCACUCGAGGUUUCUUCUUCGCAUGCACACUCCACACUCGCCUCCGGCUCGUGUGGAGUGCGCAUGCUCAGAAGAAACCUCUCGUGCACUGCAUAUUCGCUAAACAACUCCGCGGAAUGCGUUAUUCCUAUAAUGGAGUCUGCUUAGUAAGCCAUCAUCCCCAGGCCUGCUCAACUGUACACCACGUUUCGUGACCAUGUAUUUAAGAUCAGCAAUAUUCAUCGUUGUAUUCAUGGGCGUCGUCGAUUUCAACGUGAUCCAAGUUUAAUCCAGGCCCUUCGUCGACGGUAUCAAAGAAGCUUCUGACGAUCAAGAAAUAGAUUUGGAAGCCCUGUUUGCUCAAGAAAUUAAAGCUAUACAAAACUAUUGGAGGGAUUUAGCCGUCGAUCUUUACAAGUCAAAGUUCAUCCUUGACAAGUUUAAGGAACUUGGCUAUCUGGAUGAGAACGAAAACGUCAUAAAAUACCCAGAGAGCGAAGAAGCUCGAGAAAAGCUAAAAGAGCUCAUCUAUAGCCUACCCAAUGCCCCUCCCAUGUCCGACUCCGCAGCUGAGACCGAGUAAACGAAUCCGCGUUCCAUCGAAUUGGUCACCGAGAUAGUUUCAAGUUUCAUUUUUUUUGUUCUAUUCAUCGAAAUCAACUCAUUGUCGUUGGACUUUGUCUUUAAUAGUUAUUUGGUUAAAUGACCAUGAUACCGUGGUUGAUAGGCCCUUAUUUCUAUUUAGCUAUUUCCAGUCAUUUCUAUAGUUGCUUGGUCGUCAUUUCUGUAUUAAUCAUUUCUCAUUGAACUGGUAUAAACAGUUGAAUGUUCACAGGGCCCGCAGAAAUGGGGAGAGGGGG